rnacentral:tRNA from 2 species
GGCCUGCUGGCCCAAUGGCAAGGCGUCCGCCUUCGAAGCGGAAGAUUGCAGGUUCGACCCCUGCGUAGGUCA